rnacentral:misc_RNA from 1 species
GAAAGUUGCAGCAAGCGUGUUUCCCACGGUCAGUAAUCUUGAUGCAAGAGUGUCACACAGGACGGUCCAUUCCUCCUUCUGUGCAAACGUGCACAGAAGAGCAAGUGUUUCUUUCCAAGAGCUCAGAGGCCUGGAACUAACAAGGGUCACUAAAUCUUUACUCACAAGUGCAGAAACAACCUUCAGAUAUGGUGAGAGACUGCU